UUCUGGGAGGACCAUUGGUUUGGUAAUGCCACUCUGGCUACCCAGUAUUGGGACCUGUAUGUCCUUAAUAAUGAGCAUGAUGCCACCAUUGAUAAGAUCUGG
rnacentral:rRNA from 1 species